UUAAAAAUACGUUAAAGAAUCAUUGAGAGCGAGGUGUCUGAAUAAAGAGAAAAAUUCGGGUGUGACAGGACUCAGCGAUGCUGGCUAGGGCUAAGCUAAAUCAUCUAAAUGGGUAUCUCUACGAUUAAUCUCUACAAGGUUUAUAUGAAGUUUUUAUUAAUAAAUUAAUAGAUACUAUCAAACAGCAUAAUCAGGGAUGACGAGGUGCUACUUUGAUCUAAGAAGAUGCUCUAUUAUUUUCUCAUCCUGAGUGAAUACAUUAACUUCUAUUAUAUUCAAGGAGAAGCGAUCUUAUUGGAUUUCCAAUUUAUGUAAAUGUCAAGUCUAUCUCUUUUUACUGUAUCAUUCAAUUAAUGACUAAUUGAGACACGGUAUUGUUAAGUUAGGUAAGCACGGCUGGAUUGGCUGUGUCUAGGACGAAUUUACUGGCGCUGAAACUCUAUUUGUGUUAUAAUAAUAAUCGAAGGAUUAUAACAAUGGCAGAAACCCGAUGAAGUAAGCAAACGUUGACUGAAGCUUUUAUAUUAUAGAAAAAGUAAUAACAGUGAAGUAGUCUACGUAAGCAGCUAAGGCCUUGGUGACAAAUUCUAAAUUCUCAACGAAAAGUUAACAACUUCGACGUCUGUCGACCGCAACAGAAACAGAAUUUUAAAAACGGGAUUGGCAGCUUGAAAGAAAUACGUGUUCGAGUUAGUCUUUCACGUGAGAAAAAUAAUAGGUAUAAGAAGCGUCAGACCAAUUACCGAAUUACAGUCCCACAAUGUCCAUAACGUAUGUGAACAAGUGUCAUUGGAUUUUGAUUUAUUCCAACACGACACGAAGGAUCCAGUCAAAUCUUCAUUGACUUUUCAUGACUAUCAAAAACAUUUUGGAUCCUCCGUAUCGCGUUGCAAGAGCAAAGCAGCAAGCGAGUGCAUUUUGAACGAUAUUCAAAGACAUCAGCAGCUCAGCUGAUGGACGUACCG